CUUGACGGAGCCGAGCCGCAGCGGCCGCUGCGGGUCGCGGCCCUGCCCGUAGGUGGCGAGCAGGGCCUGGGCCUC
rnacentral:antisense_RNA from 1 species